rnacentral:rRNA from 1 species
UACGUAGGUCCCGAGCGUUGUCCGGAUUUAUUGGGCGUAAAGCGUGCGUAGGCUGUUUCGUAAGUCGUGUGUGAAAGGCGCGGGCUCAACCCGCGGACGGCACAUGAUACUGCGAGACUAGAGUAAUGGAGGGGGAACCGGAAUUCUCGGUGUAGCAGUGAAAUGCGUAGAUAUCGAGAGGAACACUCGUGGCGAAGGCGGGUUCCUGGACAUUAACUGACGCUGAGGCACGAAGGCCAGGGGAGCGAAAGGG